GGACUACCGGGGUUUCUAAUCCUGUUCGCUCCCCGCACUUUCGCUCCUCAGUGUCAGUUAUGGCCCAGAGACCUGCCUUCGCCAUUGGUGUUCCUCCUGAUAUCUGCGCAUUCCACCGCUACACCAGGAAUUCCAGUCUCCCCUACCACACUCUAGUUUGCCCGUAUCGACUGCAGGUCUGAGGUUGAGCCUCAGAUUUUCACAAUCGACGCGACAGACGACCUACGAGCUCUUUACGCCCAAUAAUUCCGGACAACGCUUGCACCCUAUGUAUUACCGCGGCUGCUGGCACC
rnacentral:misc_RNA from 1 species